rnacentral:rRNA from 1 species
AAAUUGAAGAGUUUGAUCAUGGCUCAGAUUGAACGCUGGCGGCAGGCCUAACACAUGCAAGUCGAGCGGAAACGACAUU